UCCAUAUACUGUGUGCAAGAAUCACUGACUGUCGAUGGUCAAUCAUGGUGAUUCAGGUCUAGUUGGGAAACUUAUAACUAAAAUAGAGGUUUAUUGCGGAUGCUGCUGAAUAUUGUAGAAUUUUUAAGCACCAUGAAAAUGUUCUGAUCAUCUUUUCACUGCCGUCAAAGUUGUCCAGGGAGAUGAGGGUAAGGCAAUGACCGCUAAGGAGGAAACGACACGCAGUGAUGAAAUGAGGACUUUACAUCACCGCAUACCUGAAGGAGAAUUGAUGAAGGAUUAUAACAAGUAUUUGGUCCAGUUAAUCAUUCAAGUUUUAUGAAUGCUAGGUUGACCGUGAGUUUCUCAGGAAUAUUAUCUUUUGUGAGAGAAUGAUGAGAUCCAGUUUAGUCCAUUACCAAGACUGUUUUAACGCACAUUUUUAAAUCUAUCCGAUAAGGAUCCACUUUAAAUAUUAUCGUUCAGGAUAUAUCUCUGUCAGUCUUGAAUGGUAGUUCUAUGAGUUUUCUUUAUCAGCCACGACUGUUUUAACGCGCAUUUUUUAAUGGUUUA